CCGUUCGUAAGGUCACAUAUUGGCUUCCCGGACAGGGUCCCCAGUACCCUGGCCGUUUAUUCCCUAUCCGCCACCUGGGGACGCGCCCGGUAGGUAGCCCAAUCCACGGGUACGUCAGUUGUCAGUUUCUGUUUUAUUUUGAUCGUUAUAGUUUAUAUAGUGCUGAAAACACCACUAGAAGAAACUUAAACACUCUAAACAAAAUUCACAAUCAAGGGCUAAGGUUAAUAACAGCACGAGAAGAAGUAGACGAACAAACACUAAGAAGUCGACAGCAUGAGUCAGAAUUAAAAUAUAAGGGUUGUUACUGAGUGCUAUCCCAGACAAGGACAACCCCCCGUAUUGAGCUGCCCCAAUUGCGCCUGAACAGGAAGCAUCGGCCAAUAAAGAAGAGAGAGAGAGAGAGAGAAGUCCUGAAAAAUUUCCAUAAAAUACGUUGUAAGGAUGUACAAAAUAAAGCUGGAAAAUUAUUACUUGCACAAAUCCGAAUAUAAUUGAGUUAGAGAGAAUUGAAAA